rnacentral:rRNA from 1 species
AUUGAACGCUGGCGGCGGGCCUAACACAUGCAAGUCGAGCGGAUGAAGGGAGCUUGCUCCUGGAUUCAGCGGCGGACGGGUGAGUAAUGCCUAGGAAUCUGCCUGGUUGUGGGGGAUAACGUCCGGAAACGGGCGCUAAUACCGCAUACGUCCUGAGGGAGAAAGUGGGGGAUCUUCGGACCUCACGCUAUCAGAUGAGCCUAGGUCGGAUUAGCUAGUUGGUGGGGUAAAGGCCUACCAAGGCGACGAUCCGUAACUGGUCUGAGAGGAUGAUCAGUCACACUGGAACUGAGACACGGUCCAGACUCCUACGGGAGGCAGCAGUGGGGAAUAUUGGACAAUGGGCGAAAGCCUGAUCCAGCCAUGCCGCGUGUGUGAAGAAGGUCUUCGGAUUGUAAAGCACUUUAAGUUGGGAGGAAGGGCAGUAAGUUAAUACCUUGCUGUUUUGACGUUACCAACAGAAUAAGCACCGGCUAACUUCGUG